rnacentral:rRNA from 1 species
GACGAACGCUGGCGGCGUGCUUAACACAUGCAAGUCGAACGCUGAAGCUCAGCUUGCUGGGUGGAUGAAUGGCGAACGGGUGAGUAACACGUGAGUAACCUGCCCUCUUCUUUGGGAUAACGCCCGGAAACGGGUGCUAAUACUGGAUAUUCACUGAUUCUCGCAUGGGGGUUGGUGGAAAGGUUUUUUCUGGUGGGGGAUGGGCUCGCGGCCUAUCAGCUUGUUGGUGGGGUGAUGGCCUACCAAGGCUUUGACGGGUAGCCGGCCUGAGAGGGUGACCGGUCACAUUGGGACUGAGAUACGGCCCAGACUCCUACGGGAGGCAGCAGUGGGGAAUAUUGCACAAUGGGCGAAAGCCUGAUGCAGCGACGCCGCGUGAGGGAUGGAGGCCUUCGGGUUGUAAACCUCUUUCGCUCAUGGUCAAGCCGCAGCUUUGGGUUGUGGUGAGGGUAGUGGGUAAAGAAGCGCCGGCUAACUACGUG